rnacentral:tRNA from 2 species
GGCCAGGUAGCUCAGUUGGAAGAGCGACGGUCUGAAAAACCGUAGGUCGGCAGUUCGAUCCUGCCCCUGGCCACCA